rnacentral:rRNA from 1 species
CAGCGAGUGGAUGGCUUGGCUCGAGAGCCAACGAAGGACGUGGUAAGCUGCGAUAAGUCCAGGGUAGGAGCAGACAUCCGUUGAUCCUGGAAUCUCCUAAUGUGACAUCACAACUAUCCGCUUCGCGGAAGGGAACGAAGGGAAUUGAAACAUCUUAGUACCUUCAGGAAGAGAAAUCAAACGAGAUGCCGUCAUUAGCGGCGAGCGAAAACGGCAGAGUCUAAACCGAAUCCGUUUGCGACGAGCAAGUGGAGAUGUGGGGUUGUAGGACUAACGUAGUAUCCUAACCAAGGCAACCGAAGCUGCUGGAAAGCAGUGCCAUAGCGGGUGAUAGCCCCGUAGGUGAAACUUUGGAGGGUAAGCAGUUAGUAUCCUGAGUAGCGGUCCUUGGUAUUGGAUCGCGAAUCCGGGUGGCACCGUCAUCCAAGACUAAAUACUACUCGAGUCCGAUAGCGCACUAGUAGUGUGAACGAAAGCUGAAAAGUACCCCGGGAAGGGGGUGAAAAGACCCUGAAACUCGUUGGCGAUGGUUAGUUGCGGCUUGAAAGCGUAAGCAAAGUUGCAACGUCGGUUUGGGAUAACUGGCCAGGGAGCUCAUACAAAUGGCGAGGUUAACCCACUUGCGUGGGGAAGCCAAAGGGAAACCAAAAAGCCUGUAGCUUGCGAGAGGCGUCCUGUUAAUAGCGGGAGAAGUCUUUUGUGUGAGGCCCGAAGCCCGUGCGAUCUAGCCGUGGGCAAGACGAAGCCUGGCCAAACACCAGGUGGAGGUCUGAAGGGGUAUUGUGGACCUAGCAUUCCUCUGACCUGCGGUUAGUGGUGAAAGGCCAAUCUAGCCGGGCGAUAGCGGGUUCUCUUCGAAACGCCGUCCCAGGACGGCCCCGCUGGAGAUGUCUUUGAAGGUAGAGCGACGGAUAGGAGUAACCGGGGGAGAAAUCCUUCGGCCCCCUGUCCAACUCCGAACUUCAUUGAAUCGUAGAAGGCGGGUGGCGGACAUAGGGGUAAGCCGCUUGUCCGAGAGGGGAACAUCCCAGACUUGAGUUAAGGUCCCUAAGCUCUAGCUAAGUGUGAAAGGUUGAAGGUUGUCUAGGAUCAUAAACAGGGGGAAGGUAGGCUCAGAAGCUGCCAUCCUCUAAGGAGUGCGUAAAAGCUCACCCCUCGAGAUUCUAGGCGCCGAAGAUGGACGGGGCUAAGCUGGACACCGAAACUCAAGCCCUGCAUGUAUUUGCGGGGGGUAGAAGAGCGCUGCGGUGGGGCAGAAGCAGGGGCGUGAGUUCCUGUGGACCUGCCGGAGACGAGAAUCCUGGCGAUAGUAGCAAGAAAGUUAGGUAAGAAUCCUAACCGCCGAAGGGGCAAGGGUUCCUCGGCAAUGGUCGUCAGCCGAGGGUUAGGCGGUCCUAAGGCAGCACCCAACAGGUCGCUGUCGAAAGGGAAGCCGGUUAAUAUUCCGGCCUCAUGAAUGUAGGUGCGGUAACGCAAGCUGUGCAUCUGACGUUUCGGGAUAGGUUCAGUGGGGCAGUCACCCCAUCCAAACGUUUAAGUCCGGGGAGUGCCGUCAUGGUGAGAACCGGUUAAAUGCGUGAAUGGCUUUGCCGUUAAAGGUAGAGUUGGGCUGAUUCCUGGAACCUGUGAAAAGGAUGCCAGAACGAAAUUCAUGUCCGUACCCAGAACCGACACUGGUGCCCCUGGGUGAGUAGCCCAAGGCGUAUCGGGUAUAACCUGAGUAAGGGAACUCGGCAAAUUAGUCCCGUAACUUUGGAACAAGGGAUGCCCGGUCUCUCGCUGAGAUCGGGUCGAAGUGACAAGGGAGAACCGACUGUUUAACAAAAACAUAGCUGACUGCUAUCCGGUAACGGCCUGUACAGUCAGUGAGGCCUUCCCACUGCUGGUUACUUAAGCCUUCUUUCAAGGGGGUGAAGGGCCAGUAAAGGGAGGGGGUAACUGUGACCCUCUUAAGGUAGCGAAAUACCUUGCCGGUUAAAUGCCGGCGCGCAUGAAGGCUUAACGAGUUCUCCACUGUCCCUACUCAGGACCCGGCGAAUAUACCCUCCAGGUGCGAAGGCCUGGGACUCCUAUCGGGUCGCAGAGACCCCGUGGAGCUUUACUGCAUCCUGCCGUUGUAUCGUGCCUUGAAUUGCAGAGUGUAUGUGGGAGCCUUCGAAGCCGCCCUUCCGGGGGUGGUGGAGGCGAAAUUGGAACACCACACUCUUUGAGUUACGAUACUAAUCCCGCUCUGCGGGAGACAGCGGUUGGUGGGCAGUUUGGCUGGGGCGGCACCCCGACGAUAAGGAAUCAUCGGGGCCCAAUGGUUGCCUCAGGGGGGUCAGAACUCCCCCGCAGAGGGCAAGACCAAAAGGCAGCCUGACGGAAUUCUGCACAAUAGUGAAUUCCGAUACGAAAGUAGGGUCUAGCGAACCUCCAUGUCCCUCGCGGUGAGGGCUGGAGCUGUCAGAAAAGUUACCCCGGGGAUAACAGACCUGUGCCGAGCGAGAGUACCCAUUGACCUCGGCGUUUGGGGCCUCGCUGUCGGCUUUUCCCAUCCUGGUCGUGCAGGAGCGGCCAAGGGUGCGGGUGUUCACCGGUUAAAGGGGAUCAUGAACUGGGUUCAAUACGUCGCGAGACAGUAUGGUUGUUAACUGGUAGGAGUGUUCGGUGUCUGAGAGGAAGGCAACGUAAGUACGAGAGGAACACGUUACCGAAGCCAACGGUGAGCGGUUGUCCGACAGGGCAAGCCGCGCAGCUGCGCUUUAACGGAUAAGAGCUGAAAGCAUCUAAGCCCGAAGCCGUCCUCGAAAAGAGUCACCGUUUGAGAGUUAGGGUAGAAGACCCUGUUGAUAGACAGGCAGUGUAAGCAGCAAGCUUCGGCGAGUUGUUCAGCUGGCCUGCACUAAAAGCUCG